AAGACUAUACUUUCAGGGAUAAUUUCUAUCGUUUGUCACUAGAGAAGUUUCGCUGAAUGUGUAGAGCACAAGAAACCAUGAGGAGGAGAAGAUGCAGGAUUCUCUCCUAAAUGUGAAGCCAGCUCUUGGUGUUGCUUCAACCGCCAUUUGCUAUUAAUGAUAGUUCUUCUUUCCCACUGAGAGAAUGGAAAGGAGAGGAUGCAGUCGUUGUUGU
ensembl:snoRNA U3 Small nucleolar RNA U3